rnacentral:misc_RNA from 1 species
AGAAUGAUGGCUUAAGUAAGUAAUUUAUUAUCCCAGGGAUAGGUGAAGAGAGUUUUCCUCUUCAAAAUCUCAGCAAAACAAAACAAGAUGGCAAGAACACAAUAAAAAAGUUAAUAAUUGAAGCAAUGUGUUACAAAAUUGUUAUAAAAGAAACAAAAAUAAAUAUAGAAUUAGGGCAGUGCUUACUGGAUUUUUGGAUUGGAUGAGAGUGAGAACGAGUGAAACUGGAAGACCACUCAUCGAUGAGGUCAAGUGAAACAAGAGAUGGAGACCUUGGCUUUCGAAUCUGAGACGAACUCAGACCUCUU